AGAGUUUGAUCCUGGCUCAGGAUGAACGCUAGCGGCAGGCUUAACACAUGCAAGUCGAGGGGGAACAGGACUUGGCCCUAGAGCGGCGCACGGGUGAGUAACGCGUAUGCAACCUACCUUUUACAGAGGAAUAGCCCAGAGAAAUUUGGAUUAAUACCUCAUAGUACUUUUAGAUCACAUGGUUUAAUAGUUAAAGCUUCGGCGGUAAAAGAUGGGCAUGCGUGACAUUAGAUUGUUGGCGGGGUAACGGCCCACCAAGUCUGCGAUGUCUAGGGGUUCUGAGAGGAUGAUCCCCCACACUGGUACUGAGACACGGACCAGACUCCUACGGGAGGCAGCAGUGAGGAAUAUUGGUCAAUGGGCGCAAGCCUGAACCAGCCAUCCCGCGUGAAGGAAGACUGCCCUAUGGGUUGUAAACUUCUUUUAUGUACCAAGAAUGUGAGCUACGUGUAGCUUUUUGACGGUAGUACAUGAAUAAGCAUCGGCUAACUCCGUGCCAGCAGCCGCGGUAAUACGGAGGAUGCGAGCGUUAUCCGGAUUCAUUGGGUUUAAAGGGUGUGUAGGCGGCUUAUUAAGUCAGUGGUGAAAUCCUGCGGCUCAACCGUAGAACUGCCAUUGAUACUGAUAAGCUUGAAUAUAGUUGAGGUAGGCGGAAUGAGUAGUGUAGCGGUGAAAUGCUUAGAUAUUACUCAGAACACCGAUUGCGAAGGCAGCUUACUAAACUAUUAUUGACGCUGAUGCACGAAAGCGUGGGGAGCGAACAGGAUUAGAUACCCUGGUAGUCCACGCCGUAAACGAUGUUCACUCGCUGUAUGCAAUACACCGUAUGCGGCCAAGCGAAAGUAUUAAGUGAACCACCUGGGGAGUACGUCGGCAACGGUGAAACUCAAAGGAAUUGACGGGGGCCCGCACAAGCGGAGGAACAUGUGGUUUAAUUCGAUGAUACGCGAGGAACCUUACCUGGGCUUAAAUGUAGAUUGCAUGACGUGGAAACACGCUUUCCCUUCGGGGCUAUUUACAAGGUGCUGCAUGGUUGUCGUCAGCUCGUGCCGUGAGGUGUCGGGUUAAGUCCCAUAACGAGCGCAACCCCUAUCGUUAGUUGCCAUCAGGUCAUGCUGGGGACUCUAGCGAGACUGCCACCGUAAGGUGAGAGGAAGGUGGGGAUGACGUCAAAUCAGCACGGCCCUUAUGUCCAGGGCUACACACGUGUUACAAUGGCAGGUACAAAGGGCAGCUACACCGCGAGGUGAUGCUAAUCUCUAAAGCCUGUCUCAGUUCGGAUCGGAGUCUGCAACUCGACUCCGUGAAGUUGGAUUCGCUAGUAAUCGGAUAUCAGCCAUGAUCCGGUGAAUACGUUCCCGGGCCUUGUACACACCGCCCGUCAAACCAUGGAAGCUGGGGGGACCUGAAGUCUGUCACCGAAAGGAGCGGCCUAGGGUAAAACCGGUAACUAGGGUUAAGUCGGAACAAGGUAGCCCUAA
rnacentral:rRNA from 1 species